UCGAGAAUCUUUCGCAAUGGGCGCAAGCCUGACGAAGCGACGCCGUGUGAGCGAAGAAGGCCUUCGGGUUGUAAAGCUCUUUCGCUAGGGAACAAGAAAGAGGCAUUAAUAACGCCUUGAUUUGAUGGUACUUGGUAAAGAAGCACCGGCUAACUCCGUGCCAGCAGCUGCGGUAAUACGGAGGGUGCAAGCAUUGAUCGGAAUUAUUGGGCGUAAAGGGCGCGUAGGCGGUUUGGUAAGUCAGAUGUGAAAUUCCGCGGCUCAACUGCGGAGCUGCAUUUGAAACUGCCAGACUGGAGCGUAGUAAGGGAAAACGGAAUUCCACGUGUAGCGGUGAAAUGCGUAGAUAUGUGGAAGAACACCAGUGGUGAAGACGGUUUUCUGGGCUAUUGCUGACGCUGAGGCGCGAAAGCUAGGGGAGCAAACAGG
rnacentral:rRNA from 1 species